CCUACGGGAGGCAGCAGUGAGGAAUAUUGGUCAAUGGGCGCGAGCCUGACCCAGCCACGCCGCGUGAAGGAUGACUGCCCUCCGGGUUGUAACCUUCUUUUAUAAAGGAAUACAGUGAGUCUCGUGUGCCUUUUUGUAUGUACUUUAUGAUUAAGGAAAGGCUAACUCCGUGCCAGCAGCCUCGGUACUACGGAGGGUACGAUCGUUAUCCGGAUUUAUUGGGUGUAAAGGGAGUGUAGCUGGGUUGUUAAGUCAGUUGUGAAAGUUUGCGGCUCAACCGUAAAAUUGCAAUUGAUACUGGCAGCCUUGAGUACAGUUGAGGUAGGCGGAAUUCGAGGUGUAGCGGUGAAAUGCUUAGAUAUCACGAAGAACUCCAAUUGCGAAGGCAGCCUACUAAACUACCACUGACAUUGAUGAGCGAAAGUGUGGGUAGCAAACAGGAUUAGAUACCCGGGUAGUC
rnacentral:rRNA from 1 species